rnacentral:lncRNA from 1 species
GAGCCCUGGCGGUGAUCGGACGACGAUCGACCGAGAAAGAGGGACUGGAAGAGUGCGAGCAUGCGAGAGCGAGAAAUGAUGAGAGAGCGAGCAUGCGAGAGCGAGAAAUGAUGAGCGAGCGAGGUCACCCCAGAUCAGCUGCACUCCACGCCUAGUCUCCGGAUCAAAUCUCGUCCCUAACCUCUUUUUUAACUUGAUCGAAUGACCUCGAGUGAGACCUCGGCUCCACGCCUCCCAGUGACCGCGAGUGAGAUUAUUUCGCGAGCAACAGUUUUCCACUUCCGACGAGCGACAGAUACAACUACCAGAAAAUAGGAGGAAACCUCGCUAUUGGUUUUUGACCUACAAGCCGAAGACUAGCACGCUACAUCUAUUUCAUAAAUCUUAUCUACUUUUUAGUUAAUUGGUUUGUAAUUUCUUAAUUUUCUAUUUAAUCAAAAUCGCCUUAAAAAAAAAAUUUAAUUAAUGUAGAUUAUUCGAGGGUACGUUCUUGAUUUGAAUAAAUUAAACAAAUCUUAGAUUUAGAUAAAUAUGAAAAUAUAUUGAAAGUUAUUGAAGCAAAGAAAUAAAAUUGAAGACGUUAUUGAAAUUUGAAAACCCAAAAUUUAAGCUUGACAAUUAGAAAUUGGAAUUAUUGAUAAAAAUGUGAAAUUUCUCAGAAAUGAAGGAAUGAAACAGAAACAAUCUAAGGACAAAAAGAAAUAUCAACCUAAACAAACUAGACAACAAAACAAAGUAAACUUAAUCUGAAAUUAAACAAUCGCAACUAAUCACCUAAUAAGCAAUCAAGAGAAAGAAGAGAGAAAUAAAAAUAAAAAAUAACUUGCUGACCUGUAAUAUAUAUAUAGCACUCAACCUGUAAUCAAAAUUCAAGCAGAGAAGAUGAUAAAAAAAAUAAUAAAUAAAUUCUAACCUGUAAUUGCUAACCUGCAGAACACAAUUACAAAGAACCUGUGGUUUUCAAAGAACAACUACAAAGCAAUUGCAACCACGCAAUUCAAUUCCAUUCAACAGAAGAAUCAAUUAAAUUGCGCACAGAAAUAACUCUCAUUUAAAUUCAGUAAAAGAGAGAGAGAGAAAUCCCGUAUCCAGAAAGUAAAAUCGACUAUCAACUGUAAUCAAACUAAAUCAGACACAUUACAUGACAGACGUAAUAACUAAACUCUCUAAAAAAUAAAUCGCAAAAAUCGGGAAUCAGAACAAAAGAUGAGAAGGAAAAAAAAAUCACGACGCAAUCAACCGUAGUCGGAAAGAAUCGGAAAGAAAAAAAUCGGAAAGAAAAAAAAAAGAACUAUCUGUCAGUAAUUAACUGUAAUCAAACAGAAGAUGAGAUCGACAAAAAAAAUCCAAAACGGAAUCCGAGUAUGAACUAAAUGGAUAGUGGGAAAAAAAACUAAAUCGAGAGUAGAAAUAACGAUCGAAAUAGUAUUAGAUGAACUAAAUCGAAAUAACCAUCAGAAAAGAAAUAACGCGCGAUCAGAAAAAAGAAACAAGAAACUCGAUCAGAAAUAACGGAUCAAGCACGAUCGAAAAAAAAAUUGACCAGAAGCCCGACGCACUCACGCACGAUCAGACAAAAAAGAAAAAUCAAAACUCGAUCAGAUCGGAAAUAAAAUAAAAAAACAGAUUAAAAUUGCAAUCAAGAUCUAAAAUUACCUAAAUCAAGAUCUGAAAAAUUAAAAUCUACAAACCUGAGAAGAGUCGACGCGGAAGACAAGCGCAGAUCCGACACGACCGAACGCGGGAAACAGAGGCACUCGCGGGAGGAAUCGUAGUAACUCAGAUGAAUCUGCAACUUCUAGUAGAUAAAAUCGCAGAAGAAGACGAUCUCGCGGAGGAAGGCGAUCAAUAAAGCUAGAAAACUGAUACCAUCUCAGAAAUGCUUAACAUUGAUUAUAAUAGAAUUGGAAAGAUUAGUUAUUACAAUAUAGCAAAUAUCCUUUUAUAGGAUUUAGAGUUUAUCCAACUAACAUAUUACAUAUGUUUACCAUACUACCAUAAAAUUUACAAAUAAAUCCAUCAUUUGAUCAAUUGGGCAUGGUACCAAUAGUAUCUUUACAUCUUUGAUUGCAGGUAUGGGAAAAAACAGUGAGUUUGUACGGAGAAAAUAGAUGAAGUUUCUUUUUGUUUCUG